rnacentral:rRNA from 1 species
UGCGUAGGGACCAAGCGUUGUUCGGAUUUACUGGGCGUAAAGGGCGCGUAGGCGGCGUGACAAGUCACUUGUGAAAUCUCUGGGCUUAACCCAGAACGGCCAAGUGAAACUGUUGUGCUAGAGUGCAGAAGGGGCAAUCGGAAUUCUCGGUGUAGCGGUGAAAUGCGUAGAUAUCGAGAGGAACACCAGAGGUGAAGACGGGUUGCUGGGCUGACACUGACGCUGAGGCGCGAAAGCCAGGGGAGCAAACGGG